GACGAACGCUGGCGGCGUGCUUAACACAUGCAAGUCGAACGGAAAGGCCCUGCUUUUGUGGGGUGCUCGAAUGGCGAACGGGUGAGUAACACGUGAGUAACCUGCCCUUGACUUUGGGAUAACUUCAGGAAACUCGGGCUAAUACCGGAUAGGAGCUCCUGCUGCAUGGUGGGGGUUGGAAAGUUUCGGCGGUUGGGGAUGGACUCGCGGCUUAUCAGCUUGUUGGUGGGGUAGUGGCUUACCAAGGUUUUGACGGGUAGCCGACCUGAGAGGGUGACCGGCCACAUUGGGACUGAGAUACGGCCCAGACUGCUACGGGACGCAGCGGUGGGGAAUAUUGCAGAAUGGGCGGAAGCCUGAUGCAGCAACGUCGCGUGCGGGAUGACGGCCUACGGGUUGUAAACCGCUUUCGCCUGUGACGAAGAGUGAGUGACGGUAAUGGGUCAAGAAGCAACGGCUAACUACGUG
rnacentral:rRNA from 1 species